AUCUGAUGAGUGGAUAUGGCGCAGGAGUGGAUUGGUGGGCAUUUGCCAUUAUUCUGUGCCAAAUGGCCGCCAGAAGAUCUCCAUUCCACGAAGGCUCGACACUGCUCAACAUCAUCGAAUCAGUCACCUUGAAGCAGCCUUCCAUUCCAGAGGAUAUCAGCCCUGAUCUGAAAAGUCUGAUGCAGGAGCUCUUUGAGAAGAAUCCAGACAAGCGCCUGGGCACAUCGGGGGAUAUAAGGAAACACCCGUUUUAUAAAUCGGUUGACUGGGCAGCGUUGGAGAACAGGAAGAUUCCACCUCCUUUCAAGCCACAAUCUCAGGUCCUUUCUCCUUCAGUGCUGUGGCUGGAGGUAUAUUCUUGAAACGCCAAACCCCCAUCCCCUUAGCCAGACUGUGACAAAUGUGGUUGGUGCUUGGCUGGUUCUGUUCUGGGCAAGGCAGGAUACCGACUGUGGAUGUCAGUGCAGUCUGUGAAGAGCCCCUGUCAUUCGUAGAAGAGCCAGGCUGCAUCAACCCAUCAGGUGGUAUAAAAAUGAUUCAGGGUCUGUCAUUCCUGAGUCCCAGUUGGGAAAGAUC